UCCUGGCUCAGGAUGAACGCUAGCGGGAUGCUUAACACAUGCAAGUCGAACGACCCUUCGGGGGAGUGGCAAACGGGCGAGUAACGCGUACUUAACCUACCCAGAAGUUGGGAACAACUACGGAGACGUAGCUAAUUCCCAAUGUUCCCUGCACUAUGAAAAAAUGCAGGGCAAAGAUUUAUCGCUUUUGGAGGGGGGUGCGUCCUAUCAGGUAGUUGGUGUGGUAAUAGCUCACCAAGCCUAUGACGGGUAGCCGGUCUGAGAGGAUGUCCGGCCGCAAUGGAACUGAGACACGGUCCAUACUCCUACGGGAGGCAGCAGUGGGGAAUCUUGCGCAAUGGGCGAAAGCCUGACGCAGCAAUCCCGCGUGAAGGAUGAAGCAUUAUGGUGUGUAAACUUCUUUUCUGGUGGAAGACGAAUGACUGUACACCAGGAAUAAGGGACGGCUAACUACGUGCCAGCAGCCGCGGUAAUACGUAGGUCCCAAGUGUUAUCCGGAAUUACUGGGCGUAAAGAGUCUGUAGCCGGGUUUGUAAGUCUGUUUUCAAAUCCUAUGGCUUAACCAUAGAGAGGGAAUGGAUACUGCAAACCUUGAGAUUAUUGGGGGUUGAUGGAAUUUCCGGUGGAGCGGUGAAAUGCGUUGAUAUCGGAAGGAACGCCAAAAGUGAAAGCAGUCAACUACAAUAAAUCUGACGGUCAGAGACGAAAGCUUGGGGAGCAAACGGGAUUAGAUACCCCGGCAGUCCAAGCCGUAAAUUAUGCAUGCUAGGUGUCUUGUUCACUUUAUGUGACCGGGGUCCCGUAUAUCUAACGAGUUAAGCAUGCCGCCUGGGUAGUAUAUUCGCAAGAAUGACACUCAAAGGUAUAGGCGGGGGAACACACAAGCAGUGGAUUGUCUCGAUUAAGUGGAUAAUAAGCCGAGUAUCUCACCUAGACUUGACAUAUAUUGUGUCCUACGUGAAAGUGUAGUAAUCGCGAUUUUGUCGGGAUACGAUACACAGGUGGUGCAUGGUCGUCGUCAGCUCGUGCCGCAAGAUGUCCAGUUAAGUCUGGGAACGAGCGCAACCCUCGUUGUUAGUU
rnacentral:rRNA from 1 species